rnacentral:rRNA from 1 species
GUGCCAGCCGCUGCGGUAAGACGAACCGUGCGAACGUUAUUCGGAAUCACUGGGCUUAAAGCGCGUGUAGGCGGGUCCGCACGUCUUUCGCUGAAAUCCCCCGGCUUAACCGGGGAACGGGCGGGGAUACGGCGGACCUGGAGGGGCGUAGGGGACCUGGAACUUCCGGUGGAGCGGUGAAAUGCGUUGAGAUCGGAAGGAACGCCCGUGGCGAAAGCGAGGUCCUGGACGCCUACUGACGCUGAGACGCGAAAGCCAGGGAGCGAACGGGAUUAGAGUACCCGGUAGUCCUGGCCGUAAACGAUGGGCAC